rnacentral:rRNA from 1 species
CCCUUAGAUGUUCUGGGCGGCCCGCGCACUACAAUGGCGUGUGCAGCGAGUGCCGAAGUAGAGUUUUCCGAGGUAUUCUUGCAAUGCUCGUUUUGAUGGGGAUAGACCCUUGCAACUGUUGGUUUUGAACGAGGAAUUCCUUGUAAGCAUGGUUUAUCAUCCGACGCUGAAUGCGUCCCUGCCCUUUGUAUACACCGCCCGUCGCUCCUACCGAUGAGUCGUCCGGUGAAGUUCGUAGACCUCGUGAUCGCGGAUCACUGGGGGAAGCAAAAUGAACCUCGCGGUUUAGAGGAAGGAGAAGUCGUAACA